CCUACGGGAGGCAGCAGUCGAGAAUCAUUCACAAUGGGGGAAACCCUGAUGGUGCGACGCCGCGUGGGGGAAUGAAGUUCUUCGGAUUGUAAACCCCUGUCAUGUGGGAGCAAAUUAAAAAGAUAGUACCACAAGAGGAAGAGACGGCUAACUCUGUGCCAGCAGCCGCGGUAAUACAGAGGUCUCAAGCGUUGUUCGGAAUCACUGGGCGUAAGGCGUGCGUAGGCUGUUUCGUAAGUCGUGUGUGAAAGGCGCGGGCUCAACCCGCGGACGGCACAUGAUACUGCGAGACUAGAGUAAUGGAGGGGGAACCGGAAUUCUCGGUGUAGCAGUGAAAUGCGUAGAUAUCGAGAGGAACACUCGUGGCGAAGGCGGGUUCCUGGACAUUAACUGACGCUGAGGCACGAAGGCCAGGGGAGCGAAAGGGAUUAGAUACCCUUGUAGUC
rnacentral:rRNA from 1 species